CCGAAGCACCGCUGUAGGUCGACUCUCCGAUGCUGGACUGGAGAGCCGUCAAAUAAUGUCGGUGACAGGCCAUCGAUGCGAGAGCAGUCUGCGGGCUUACUGGGCUCCGUCAGUCCGUGAGAGACUGAAGAUGAAAUAACGAAGUCGCUCAUUGUUGUAUUAGUAGGCUAUGUAAUAUCUAACUAACGUUAGAUGUUUGUUUUGAUAGAGCAAAUUGUUAACGGAUACUUUGACUGCCUGUUGCUAUGGUUACUCACAGCUGUUGUAGGCAGCGCAUUUAUUUAUUAAUUUCGAACGGUAAACAGGCAGUUUCACCAGAACUCCUUUACUAGGUGUCCUCUAUCACUUUUUAAUGGACACCCUGCAGCCAAUCAGAAUCGAGUAUUCACCCAGACCAUGGUAUAAACCUAAUGCACCAGAGAAACGUGGGCGCCGUCAACUUUAGAAUAUUGUCUUUGAACUUCCGUUUUUGCGGUCGCUCUGUAUAUUUCUAUGGCAUCGCUGUCCAGGAGUAAUUAGCUGGUGAAGUGGAUUUACUUAUUGUAGAGUUAACAAAAGUUAUCAUGAGCAUUGUAAUGUUUAUCAUAAGCAUUGUAAAGCAGAUGUCUUAACAAAUGUCGACCGGGAAUUUUUUUACUCGAGCAGUUCAUUCAUACCUAUGCAAGAUCGCUGUGAAAAUACAGACCGGAAGUCAAAAGACAACGAGCGCAGCGCUGAAAAGGGGCGGGGCUACAUAAGGUCUAUAGGCUACAG